rnacentral:lncRNA from 1 species
CAGGUAACAUAAAUAAAAGAAGGUGAAAGAUAAAUCAGAAAAAAUGUCAUAACAAGUAUUUUUUUUUACUUGUGUUUUUAAAGUCUACAUGUCCCAAGUUUACAAUAAGAACAUCUGUAUACGGAGCUAUAUAUCCACAAGUGGCUGAUACUGCAGAAGGAGUUGGCUGCUCUGGCACAUGAUAAUAUCAGCCAGAGAGCCCUGGAGGUGCCCACUGUGGCCAAUGGUAAUCCCUCAUUUUCAGGGAGUUAUCCAUCUGGAUUGCAGUUGUUCUGGACCGUAACAUUCAAAAAAGGGCUGCAUUGCCCCCACUGUGAUUAACCAUUUCUAUAUUCUUCUUAAUGAAUGGGUAGUGCCCCUGCCAGGUUACUCGGAAAACAAAGAUAUUUCAAGAGCUGUAUGAAUAAUAAACUGCUACAAGCACACCAUAUAGUUGUUCUGAUGCUGGGAAACUGAUAUCUCAAUGAAUUAAGUUUAACAGAGUUGUUUGCAUUGGUUGAACACAAUAUGUGCUCUUAAGAACCAAACAUAACUGUGCAAUUAGAUUCAUACAUCAAUUGACUAUCAAUAAAACAUGAGAAAGGUGUGAUAGCUCCCGGGUGCCUAGACACCCUCUAUGAACAGUAAAAUUAAAAAAAUAGAAAACAAAAUCAAAAAAAUCUGAAACUUUGCAGCAUCAACGAUGAUCAAACUUCGUAGGUUCCUACAAGUUUUCAUGUCAAAAUAUCAUGUAGAGAAAGAUGUACAAACAAGUUUCAGAUUACACCUAAAAAGUGCUCAAAACUUCAAGCAUUGAAAUAUUUUCCGUGUGUAGAGCUCCUCGAAUAGUUUUUUGGCAUGAAAACUUGCUAACACCUACAAACUUUCAUCAUCUUUGAUGCUGCAAAGUUUCAGAUUUUUCUUAUUUUUUUUUCUAUUUUUUUUUAUUUUACUGUUCAUAGAGGGUGCCUAGGCACCCGGGAGCUGAAAAUCCACUCUCAUAAAACAUCCAGCCAAUGACAAAGAAAAACUAUUUGAAAACUAUUCAGGUAGCUUUUAAUUAUAAUCAAUAGAAGGCAAUAAAAAAGGCCACAAGACUGGAAAACAGAAGUAGUGCUUCCAGGAUAUGGGGACUACGAACAAAAAUGGCAUGCAAAGAAAGGGCAGAUAACAGUGCAGGUGUUAGUUCAAUGCAUCAUACCAUGACUCAAAUUCCUGAUGGGAUGAGAAUAUAUCAGGCAAAAUGAAGUUCAGUAGUGACCACAACUCUGCUAGAUUAUUCUGAAGAGGUGUCCCAGUCAAAAGGAGCUUAUUCUCCAUCGGAAUGCGCUUUAACUCCCUCAAUAAUUUACAAUUCGUAUUUUUCAACCGAUGACCCUAGAAAAAG